rnacentral:rRNA from 1 species
UAGGAAAUUGCCUUGAUGUGGGGGAUAACCAUUGGAAACGAUGGCUAAUACCGCAUAAUGCCUACGGGCCAAAGAGGGGGACCUUCGGGCCUCUCGCGUCAAGAUAUGCCUAGGUGGGAUUAGCUAGUUGGUGAGGUAAUGGCUCACCAAGGCGACGAUCCCUAGCUGGUCUGAGAGGAUGAUCAGCCACACUGGAACUGAGACACGGUCCAGACUCCUACGGGAGGCAGCAGUGGGGAAUAUUGCACAAUGGGCGCAAGCCUGAUGCAGCCAUGCCGCGUGUAUGAAGAAGGCCUUCGGGUUGUAAAGUACUUUCAGUCGUGAGGAAGGUUCAUGCGUUAAUAGCGUAUGGAUUUGACGUUAGCGACAGAAGAAGCACCGGCUAACUCCGUGCCAGCAGCCGCGGUAAUACGGAGGGUGCGAGCGUUAAUCGGAAUUACUGGGCGUAAAGCGCAUGCAGGUGGUUUGUUAAGUCAGAUGUGAAAGCCCGGGGCUCAACCUCGGAACUGCAUUUGAAACUGGCAAACUAGAGUACUGUAGAGGGGGGUAGAAUUUCAGGUGUAGCGGUGAAAUGCGUAGAGAUCUGAAGGAAUACCAGUGGCGAAGGCGGCCCCCUGGACAGAUACUGACACUCA